UACGGGGGGGGGUAAGCGUUGUUCGGAAUUACUGGGCGUAAAGGGCUCGUAGGCGGCCAACUAAGUCAUACGUGAAAUCCCUCAGCUUAACUGGGGGAACUGCGUGUGAUACUGGAUGGCUUGGAUUUGGGAGAGGGAUGCGGAAUUCCAGGUGUAGCGGUGAAAUGCGUAGAUAUCUGGAGGAACACCGGUGGCGAAGGCGGCAUCCUGGACCAAUAUUGACGCUGAGGAGCGAAAGCUAGGGGAGCAAACGGG
rnacentral:rRNA from 1 species